rnacentral:rRNA from 1 species
UACGUAGGGGGCAAGCGUUGUCCGGAUUUAUUGGGCGUAAAGAGCGUGUAGGCGUCUUGGUAGGUCCGCUGUGAAAACUCGAGGCUUAACCUCGAGAUGUCAUCGGAAACCAUCUGGCUAGAGUCCGGUAGAGGAGAGUGGAAUUCCUGGUGUAGCGGUGAAAUGCGCAGAUAUCAGGAAGAACACCAAUGGCGAAAGCAGCUCUCUGGGACGGUACUGACGCUGAGACGCGAAAGCGUGGGGAGCGAACAGG